rnacentral:rRNA from 1 species
UACGUAGGUGGCGAGCGUUGUCCGGAUUUACUGGGCGUAAAGCGCGCGCAGGCGGUUCUGUAAGUCCUGGGUGAAAUCGCCCGGCUCAACUGGGCGGGGGCCUGGGGGACUGCGGGACUGGAGGGGCCUAGAGGCCGGUGGAACUCCCGGUGUAGUGGUGAAAUGCGUAGAGAUCGGGAAGAACACCAGUGGCGAAGGCGAGUCUCUAGACAUUUCCUGACGCUGAGGCACGAAAGCCAGGGGAGCAAACGGG